rnacentral:rRNA from 1 species
UACUGGGCGUAAAGCGUGCGUAGGCGGCUGAUUAAGUCGGAUGUGAAAUCCCUGAGCUUAACUUAGGAAUUGCAUUCGAUACUGGUCAGCUAGAGUAUGGGAGAGGAUGGUAGAAUUCCAGGUGUAGCGGUGAAAUGCGUAGAGAUCUGGAGGAAUACCGAUGGCGAAGGCAGCCAUCUGGCCUAAUACUGACGCUGAGGUACGAAAGCAUGGGGAGCAAACAGGAUUAGAUACCCUGGUAGUCCAUGCCSUAAACGAUGUCUACUAGCCGKUGGGGCCUUUGAGGCUUUAGUGGCGCAGCUAACGCGAUAAGUAGACCGCCUGGGGAGUACGGUCGCAAGACUAAAACUCAAAUGAAUUGACGGGGGCCCGCACAAGCGGUGGAGCAUGUGGUUUAAUUCGAUGCAACGCGAAGAACCUUACCUGGUCUUGACAUAGUAAGAACUUUCCAGAGAUGGAUUGGUGCCUUCGGGAACUUACAUACAGGUGCUGCAUGGCUGUCGUCAGCUCGUGUCGUGAGAUGUUGGGUUAAGUCCCGCAACGAGCGCAACCCUUUUCCUUAUUUGGCAGCACUUCGGGUGGGAACUUU